rnacentral:lncRNA from 1 species
CACUCCUAAACACAAAUUAUCUAAAAACCUAAAAGCAUGAUGUAUGGAAGAGAAAAACAAUGUAGAUUUUAAAACAUAGCUUCUCUCUGCUUCCCUACAUUGUAUUAUUUAUACACAUAUAAUAUGUAUAUACAUAUAUUCUUAUACAUAUGGAAAUUGAUACAAAAUAUGUUUGAUCUUAAAAAAGAAAACCAUUUUGUGUGCUUUGUCAGACUCUCCUGCUUCAGUGUCUUCUAUUCUGAAGUAAUACAAAUGGGCAUAUUAAACUUAGGGUGUGAGAUGAGAUAUCUGGACCACACAGAACAAAUCAUUUUCUAAAGAUCAAAUAAGUUUUCUAAAGACUCUGUAGACUCACAGUAGGCCAGUCAGAAAGAGCAGUGAAUUAAAAAAUCCAUUGCCAUGACCCCAGUGACCUUGGAAAAAUGACCUUGAUUCUCUAUAAAAAGUUCCUCUUUUUUAAAAUGCAGAGAUAAAUUACAAGAACCUGUGAGAAUUCUUUUCAUUUCCUGUACUCCUGGUACAUGACAAAUGCUCAGGAGAUAAUAGCUAUUAUUUGUGGCAACAUAGAAUUAAAAAUCAGCUUAGAUAUGUGAAUAUUAUUUGUAGAACUAUAACAAAUUCUUGUCCAACUUAAAGCACAUAUCACUGGGUAUGAGUUGGGGGAAAGCCUAUCCAGUUUUGAACUCAUGCAACCUUGGAACUGUGCAUCUAGGAUGAUUUAGCAAAAUGAUCUUAAACACCACAGAAAGAAUGCUUUUCUUCUGUUAUAAUCUAUGCUGAACACUGGCCAAUUCCUUGGUUAUACUCUCCAUGAAUUGGAUCAGUUUUUAAAAAUAAACAAGUCUCAAACAUUUAUUUUCUUAUGGUAGUCAGCAAGAUAUAUAGGUAGGUAAAUAGAAUUAUAUUAACGAAGUUGUCUCCUUAAACACAGUAUAGUAUUUACUUUUUUUUCCUCAGAGUAUUUUGAAAUUCAGAAUCAGUUACUAUGUUUCACCCUAUUAUUUUUUAAAAAGGAUUUUAGUAAAUUCUAUGAAGAAAACCUGUAGACCCAGCCUCUGUGGCCAUUCUUAGAGUCCUGAAUAAAAAGUAUUAUAAGAAAACUUAUCCACAUGAAUGAAUUUUUUAUUUAUUUAUUUUUUAAUGAAUUUUUUAAAUUAGCUUUUCGUCCAGAACAAAGGUAUUUAUUUUUGCUGUGACAUAGAGUCUUCUUGAGGUAUAUGACCCCUAUAAACAUUUAUAUAAACAGGCUAGUUAUGUGGUAUAUGUAUCAGACACAUUCGCUUAUUUAUAUAUAGCUUGUAUUUUAAUCAGUUGACAUAAAAGAAAGCUUUACAUAACUAUAGUGUUUCUAGAAAAGGACUAAUGUUAAGUAGUAAAUUAUAUGAAUGAUAUGUCCAUGAAAAUUAUGUAAUGUAGUAAAUGGCUUUCUGAACUGCCAAAUAGUAACAGAUGUUUCAUAAAAGAUAUUAGAAUUUUAAAAGUUUGGAAAAUAUAACAACUCUAAGUUAGAUGACGAUUUUUGCUUCAGAACUUGGCACUCUUUAAAAAUGCUAAUGCACAUUAACUCUAGAAAUCUGUUUUUUUUUUAUUUUUAUUUUUUAUGAGUGGUCUCCUCUGAGUAGAGCUUCAUAGAAUGAAUUUUGAAAAUGCUAUGAUACAAAAUUUAUAAUUUGUACACAUUUUUUCCUUCAGUCUUGAAAAUUAAUUGCUAUUUCCAUAAUGAUCUCCUUAGGCUUUUAAAGGAGCAAAGAUGGAUAGUGUCACCUUCAGAGCCAUUUUAAUGAGCCACGGGAAGUCUUACUCAAUUUUAUUAUCCAGUUUCCUCCUAUUUUCUGAUUUCCCAGGGCUCCACCAGAACAUCAACUUUAGUCUCAGGAGUCAAGCUGAGGAUUUUCUUUUUCUUUCUUUCUUUUUUUUUGUUUUUGUUUUUGUUUUUGUUUUCAUCAGACAGGUUGGAUGGCUCCCCUAACUCCAACAGCUUUGGAUGAAGUAAUAUAUGACUCCGUAGCAUUAGGAGAUGUUAAGUAGCCAGUGAACUGUAUGCCAGGAGCAGUAGAAGACUAUAAGAGUGCUAUCCAGAAGUUAUUUUAGGAACUUUUUUUCAGAUUUUUCUAAUUUACCUCAAUAAGCGAAGUUACAUGGACAUAUCUAUAACAUUUAUCAUAAUAAUGUGUUUCUACUCCUACAUAUUCAAGAUUAUUUCCACCUUUUACUUCCCUAUAUGUUGUGGUUCUCUGUCACAUUCUUUCUGAAGAGCUCAAAUCACAUCAUUAACUCUAGUAUAACCACCCCACACUCCCAAGGAUGUAUUAAAAACUCUAAAUGGAUAGAGAGAAAAGUUCUUAUUCUGGGAAGACAAGUACCCACCUCAAUAAUCUAGGACAAAUCAAGCAGCAAAAUUAGGGGAAGACCCUGGUUAGUUCUAUCUGGUCACAAGAGAAAAGCCAGUAGAAAUGCUUUCUUGCUCUUUGCAUAAUAACAAAGAGCCCCAAAUUCAAUUCUUAAGAAAUAAGGAGCUGAGACACAGUUCUUAAGAAAUAAGGAGCUGUCCAAGUGGACAAAGUGGGAGUGGGGGGCACAAGGAAAAUACAAGUAAUGAUGACUAGGCCAAAAGAUAAAAAGUCCACAUAAAUUAAAGGAAAAAUAAGCAAUUAUGUUACUAAAUGAUGGUAACCAGCACCAUCAGUUAAUCCAAUCUUCACAUAUGCAAAACACUGAUAGAGGCAGAUGCUAAAUAAACAAAGGUAGGUAUAGGAAUAUUAAUGUCUAACAAGAAGUAAUUUAAAAUGAAAUUAACUUAAAGGCAAAAAGGUUUAUUUUGAAUUGAUAAAAAUUUACUCGGAAAAUGGAACAGUCCUGAACUUAUGUGUGCUUAACAAUAUGACUUCAAACACAUAAAGCAAAAACUGAUAUAAAUAUACACACACAAAAAUUCCACAAGGAACCUUUUUAAUAUACUUAACUCACAAAUACAUCAAGAAGCCAAAAGAAAAAAA